AUGGUCUCACAAGAGCAUUUUGAAAACGAGGUAAAUCUUGUUAUGAGACUAGAGCACCCAAAUAUAGUGCGACUAGUGGGUUACUGCUACGAAAUAGAGCAUGUACGUGUGCCUCACGAAAGGAAAUUCGUAUUCGAUAGGAAGACUGAAAGAUUACUUUGCAUGGAAUUCCUGCCUAAUGGAAGUCUUGAUAAGUACAUUUCAGAAGCAUCUUAUGGACUUCGUUGGCACACACGUUACAAAAUAAUUGAGGGGAUUUCCUAUGGUCUACAGUACCUUCACGAACAACUUGAAGGUCCUGUUAUUCACUUGGACCUGAAACCUGCCAACGUAUUGCUGGACAAAAAUAUGUUGCCCAAAAUCACGGACUUUAGUCUGUCAAGCUUGCUUGAGCGAAGCCAAACUAUUCACACUGCAACUAUUACUCGUACAUUAGGUUACAUGGCACCAGAAUACCUUCAUCAAGGUAUAAUCACACCAGUGUCAGACAUAUUCAGUUUGGGUGUAAUAAUUAUGGAGGAACUUCAGAAAUGGAGAAAUAUGCUACAGAAAGUGCCAGGGUACACAUCACUAGAAGCAGAUUGCCAGCACAUAAAAAGAUGCAUUCAAAUUGGACUAAUGUGUGUGAAUCCUGAGUGGACCAAAAGGCCUACAAUGAAGAAAGUUAUUGACAUGCUUGAAGGACUGGAAAGUAUGGACUGGUAUAUUAGCAAUGAGGUAACACCUGUAGCCCGCGUAUGA
rnacentral:rRNA from 1 species